AGAUGACGACUACGAUAACCUUAUCGAUGAAGAUUUGGAAGCCACCUAUAUAGAAGCGCCAUUUGAAGACAUUAUCUUGCAAGAAAUUGAAGAAAACCCCAAAGAACAAGGGGAAUUUACUCUACGCACAGCUUACGACACCUUCUUAUGGAUUACAACUUCCGCCAUUGUGCUGACUAUGUUGGCUGGCAUGUUGCGGUUGAAACG
rnacentral:sRNA from 1 species